rnacentral:rRNA from 1 species
CCUACGGGUGGCUGCAGUGGGGAAUAUUGGACAAUGGGCGAAAGCCUGAUCCAGCCAUGCCGCGUGUGUGAAGAAGGCCUUCGGGUUGUAAAGCACUUUCAGUGGGGAAGAAAGCCUUGGGGCUAAUACCCUCGAGGAAGGACAUCACCCACAGAAGAAGCACCGGCUAACUCCGUGCCAGCAGCCGCGGUAAUACGGAGGGUGCGAGCGUUAAUCGGAAUUACUGGGCGUAAAGCGCGCGUAGGCGGUCUGAUAAGCCGGUUGUGAAAGCCCCGGGCUCAACCUGGGAACGGCAUCCGGAACUGUCAGGCUAGAGUGCAGGAGAGGAAGGUAGAAUUCCCGGUGUAGCGGUGAAAUGCGUAGAGAUCGGGAGGAAUAGCAGUGGCGAAGGCGGCCUUCUGGACUGACACUGACGCUGAGGUGCGAAAGCGUGGGUAGCAAACAGGAUUAGAUACCCGAGUAGUC